UGAAAAGCAAUUAGUCAAGAAUGGGAAAUUACUUUUUCUCUGUGUGUUUGGCUUUGGUGAUUGAGCUGCUACCAUUCCCUGGGGCUGCAGCAGGGCUGUGGUGAGGACCAGAUGGUAUGGCCUUGGAUAGGGAAUCCCUCUGGGGUGGGGGCUUAGGGCUCAGUGGACUGAGGGCUGUCCUCUAGCCUCUCCCUGGAAGCUCCUUGACAGGGCCUUGGCUGUCCUGUGUCCUGUGCCAUAGGAUCUUUCUGCAGGUUAUUAAGUUGAUGUGUCAAGAGCAGACAAUGAUGGCCCAUUUCAUCCCCGCAUUCUUGUGGUAUCGAAAGAGGAAGAGCUAGCAGGAGAAUGCACACAGAGGAAAGGCAAUUUGAGGACACAGGGAGAAGGUGACCAUCUGCAGGCUGGGAAGAGAAGUCUCGCCAGAAACCAAUCCUGCAAGCACCUUGAUAUUGGAUUUCCAGCCUCCAGAAUGCGAGAAAAUAAAUUUCUGUCAUUAAGCCA